UUACGGCCACAUCACGUUGAAACAGUGGUUCCCGUACAAUCAGCCAAGUUAAGCAACAUCGAGCCUAGUCAGUAUCGAGAUGGGUGACCGCUUGGAAAUACCAACUGCUGUAAG